GAUCUGGGGGUACCGGCACUGCUCAUCCCGCACUCGGAUCCGCGGUGUCACAGGGGAGGGAGGCACCAAGCGCCCGGUGAGGUCACAAAUGCACAAACGCAUCUCAUGGAAUCGGUGGGGGUAGGAGGGACCUCUGGAGAUGAUGCAGUCCAACCCCUCACCAAGGCAGCGUCAGUCGGAGCAGGUGACACAGAGGCAGAGUUUUUCAUGAAAACAACUGAAAAACUGGAGAUGGAGGUGAGGCCUCUUUGAAGAUUGGGUUAUAAAAGCUGUCUCAGACUGUUCCUGCCAGGAGGUGCUACCACGUGAACUAGAAAGACUCCAGCAAGCCUACAUCCUUUUCAUCAUUACAGUUUUAGUAUCAUCCAAUAAACCAGGCAGAUAAGUUUUCA